rnacentral:rRNA from 1 species
GUGGGGAAUAUUGGACAAUGGGCGAAAGCCUGAUCCAGCAAUGCCGCGUGUGUGAAGAAGGUCUUCGGAUUGUAAAGCACUUUCGACGGGGACGAUGAUGACGGUACCCGUAGAAGAAGCCCCGGCUAACUUCGUGCCAGCAGCCGCGGUAAUACGAAGGGGGCUAGCGUUGCUCGGAAUGACUGGGCGUAAAGGGCGCGUAGGCGGAUCACGCAGUCAGAUGUGAAAUUCCUGGGCUUAACCUGGGGGCUGCAUUUGAGACGCGUGGUCUAGAGUGUGAAAGAGGGUCGUGGAAUUCCCAGUGUAGAGGUGAAAUUCGUAGAUAUUGGGAAGAACACCGGUGGCGAAGGCGGCGACCUGGUUCACAACUGACGCUGAGGCGCGAAAGCGUGGGGAGCAAACAGGAUUAGAUACCCUGGUAGUCCACGCUGUAAACGAUGUGUGCUGGAUGUUGGGCAGCCUAGCUGUUCAGUGUCGUAGUUAACGCGAUAAGCACACCGCCUGGGGAGUACGCCGGCAACGG